CCAGUGCUACAGAAGCAGCUCGAAGGAUUAAUGAUGUGUACUGCACUAGUAUCGCAAAAGAAACCACAGUACGUUUUUCACGUCUAGUGUGGAGGCGGAUCCAUCACAAAGCACUUCAGAGAUAGCUGCAGGUUUCGGGCAGCUGCAAACCAUGAAGGAAGAACUAGCUGCUAAACAGAUCGGUCCGAGAUCCGAGAUCGAUCAAUCGCUCUAGGCCACUGCUGCUUCACGACAACGCAAGACCACACACUGCACAACAAACCACUAAGUUACACUACGAUGAACUACAAUUGGAAUGUUGCCUACAUCCACCAUGCUCCCCAGACCUUGCUUGAUUUUAUUGAUUCUCGGCCCCAUGGUUUUUUUAGUAAAGGAAUCAAUGAACUACCUAUGAGAUGGCAAAAGUGCAUAUACAGUCGUGGUCAACUAAUUAGGGACAUUCAAGAUAGUGAAGGGCUAUAACCGGUUAUGUACAUUUAAAUAUAAAACCCUAUUGAUUUUUCAGCACUUAUUAUUUGCAUAAUGUGGUCCAAUUAUUAUGCUAUAAAUGGCUGUAAAUAAAAGAUUUAAUAAAUAGAAAAAGUAUUUAAUAUCAAAGAUUAAACAUGUAUUAAAUAUUAAGGUACAAUUCUCUAGUGGACAUUUAAUUAAGGACAGUAAAGUAUAAUGAAAAAUACAGUUACACAAAACUUAUAAUCUUCAGUGUUAUAAUAUCUUUAACAGCUCCAUUUUAUUACGUGUAAAAACAGUACCCAGUAGCAAAACCUUUGUUACUAAUUACCACUUGACACCGAUGUGGCAUAGACAUUAUCAGUUUCUGACAUGCUUCGACAGGAACGUUUGCCCAUGCCUCACAAAAAGCUUCAUGAAGUUCAUCCAAAUUUGUAUUACGAUAAGUGGCAACUUUUUUCUUGAUUUCGUGCCAAAGGUGCUCAAUUGGGUUGAGGUCCGGGCUAUUUGCUGGCCAAUCUAGCACCGAUACAAACUGACUGGUAAGAAACGACUUGACUGAAUGGGCGGUAUGUUUCGGGUCGUUAUCCUGCUGAAACGUUCAUAUAAUAGGGAGAUGCUCCUCAGCAUAGGGAAGCAUAGUUUCUUUCAAUAUUGCCUUGUAUUGAUGUUGGUCUAAGUUACCCUGAACUUUCCUCACAGAUCCCACUCUAUGUACAGAAAAUGAACCCCAUAUUUUAAUGUUUCCACCACCAUGUUUCACCUGUUUUUUUGUGAAUCUUGGAUUCAUUUCCGCUUUUACAGGACGCCGUACAUAUUGCCUUCCAUCUGAAGAAAUCAAAUUAACCUUGGUCUCGUCAGAGAAAAGUGCAUGUUGCCAUUGGGCGUAGGUCCAAUGUCCAUAUUUACGUGCAAAUGCCAAACGAGCAUUUCUAUGUUCUUUCUUCAACAACGGUACUUUGUGAGCCACUCUUCCGAACAACCCUGCUUCUACCAAACGUCGUCGAACGGUCCUCGCAGAUACACCGGCUCUUUCGUUUGCCCGAAACACUUCGUGUUUAAUUAAAAUAGAGCCUAGAAAUGGAUAUUUCUUAGCUAACCUGGUUAUCAUUAUAUCUUCUUGCGGAGUCGUUUUUCUCGAUCUUUUUGUUCUGGACACAUUUAAAGCUGUGUUAUAGCGCUUGAAAUGUUGCACUGCAUUGCAUACCAUAGUUUUUGAACAAUUUAAAUGUUGUGCUAUUCUUCGGUAUGACCAACCACGCUCGACAAACUUCAUGAUAAAUUUUUCGUAGUGUUGGAUCGCAACUUUUAUUUUUGCCCAUUUUUCUUCAAAAUAAUUCUCAAAACUUAAAAUAAAAAAUCUGGAUUGCCGCCAAAACGACCACUAAACAAUAAGAAAAGAAACAAAAAAGUAUUAAAAUUCCAAUUCUGAAAUUAGAACGCAAUACCUCAGUGUCCCUAAUUAAAUGGCCAGCCAGUAUUCUUUGAACCAAUAGCACUAUGAUAUUGUAUCAGCUAUAAUGUAAAGAGGUUUAAUGUUUAAGAAGUUGUUAUUGUUUGUAUAAUCGCGCACAUAAAUAACUAAUUACACUUACAUGUAAAAGAUAUGGAAUAUUGCUAAGACUCGUUGGAAAAUAAAAAAAAUAUUCACAAUUUGGCUUAACUAGAGAUUGUCCCUAAUUAGUUGACCACGACUGUAUAACAAUGAUGCAUACUUUGAUUAAAUAAAUAUAUUUUACAAAAACAUAAAUAUAUUCCUCCCGUACAAAACUCAAAUUUCGUGUAUAAAGAACUAUAAUAAAUAAAAAAAAUUCAUAAGAUUACAAUUUGUUUUCAAUGCUUCAAUCGCGUUAAUGAUGAGAUUUGUUCUUAUCAAAUAUGCUAUGGGUCAAAAUUAUGCUAUCUGCGUGGACGUUGUUGCAUGACCUUUUUUUUAUCAUUAUUAAAAUCAGUUUAGGUAAAUUGGAUUUCAAACUUGUCUUAAUCAGGCGUCAUCUGUCAUCUUAUUAUUUUAAGUAAAUAUAUUAAUUCAAUGGAAACUGAAUACGACCGUGUACUUAUUUAAUUAUGAUAAUGAAACGAAAAUUAUGUGUUACCAUAAGAUAGGUAUAACUUUUUCAUCUAGAGUUGAUUACACGGUGCUAGUAUGUAAAAAUGCUACUGUGAUAUUAGCAAGUGUAUGUAAAUUUGUUUUUAGAUCGUACAUGUAAUAUGUUGGAAAACAUCUAAACUAACUUGGUAACGACUUUGUGAAUAAAAAUUGAGCUUAAAA